CCUACGGGAGGCAGCAGUGGGGAAUAUUGGACAAUGGGGGCAACCCUGAUCCAGCCAUGCCGCGUGUGUGAAGAAGGCCCUCGGGUUGUAAAGCACUUUCAGUGAGGAAGAACGCCUGGUGGUUAAUACCCAUCAGGAAAGACAUCACUCACAGAAGAAGCACCGGCUAACUCCGUGCCAGCAGCCGCGGUAAUACGGAGGGUGCGAGCGUUAAUCGGAAUUACUGGGCGUAAAGCGCGCGUAGGUGGCUUGAUAAGCCGGUUGUGAAAGCCCCGGGCUCAACCUGGGAACGGCAUCCGGAACUGUCAAGCUAGAGUGUAGGAGAGGAAGGUAGAAUUCCCGGUGUAGCGGUGAAAUGCGUAGAGAUCGGGAGGAAUACCAGUGGCGAAGGCGGCCUUCUGGACUGACACUGACACUGAGGUGCGAAAGCGUGGGUAGCAAACAGGAUUAGAUACCCGUGUAGUC
rnacentral:rRNA from 1 species